AUACCAAAUCACGAUGAACCGUAGACCGUAGGUCCUGCAAAGGAUAAUGGGAAACCGCCUGCCGAGGUUCGCGACGGAACCACGGAAUGUCCAGUCGCGCCUGUGUCUUCGGGUGCGGCUUUUCUAUUGUCAU
rfam:Alicyclobacillus sp. RIFOXYA1_FTLL_53_8 rifoxya1_full_scaffold_656, whole genome shotgun sequence.